rnacentral:rRNA from 1 species
UGCUGCAUGGCUGUCGUCAGCUCGUGUCGUGAGAUGUUGGGUUAAGUCCCGUAACGAGCGCAACCCACGCCUUUAGUUGCCAUCAUUUAGUUGGGCACUCUAGAGGGACAGCCCCGGUUAUCGGGGAGGAAGGUGUGGAUGACGUCAAGUCCUCAUGGCCCUUAUGGCCAGGGCUACACACGUACUACAAUGGGCGGUACAAAGGGCAGCUACAUCGCGAGGUGGAGCCAAUCCCCCAAAACCGUUCUCAGUCCGGAUCGGAGUCUGCAACUCGACUCCGUGAAGUUGGAAUCGCUAGUAAUCGUGGAUCAGCAAGCCACGGUGAAUAUGUUCCCGGGCCUUGUACACACCGCCCGUCACUCCACGAAAGUCGG